rnacentral:rRNA from 1 species
GGGGAAUCUUCCGCAAUGGACGAAAGUCUGACGGAGCAACGCCGCGUGAGUGAAGAAGGUCUUCGGAUCGUAAAGCUCUGUUGUACGGGACGAAUGUUGAAGGCGUGAAUAAUGCCAUCAAAUGACGGUACUGUACGAGGAAGCCACGGCUAACUACGUGCCAGCAGCCGCGGUAAUACGUAGGUGGCGAGCGUUGUCCGGAAUUAUUGGGCGUAAAGGGAGCGCAGGUGGGAAGAUAAGUCUGCUUUAAAAGUGCGGGGCUCAACCCCGUGAGGGAGUGGAAAGUAUUUUUCUUGAGUGCAGGAGAGGAAAGCGGAAUUCCUAGUGUAGCGGUGAAAUGCGUAGAUAUUAGGAGGAACACCAGUGGCGAAGGCGGCUUUCUGGACUGUAACUGACACUGAGGCUCGAAAGCCAGGGGAGCGAACG